GAAUCAGACCGUCCCUGAUCAAUUGGGUAGAAGCAGAGGUGGAACGGGAGCAAGAUUCUUUAUCGUACUCCGCCUGUAGGAAAUCAAAACCCUGCUCGGCGGCUGAGGAAGCGGAGGCGGAGGCGGAGGAGGAGGUGAGUGUUUGCCUGAGUCUUAGCGCCCAGAACACAACCCAUCUCAUCAAAGCAAUUACAAAGGCCGCUUUGUACAGUACGUGGCUCAGUAUCAAGGCCGAUGAGGACGCGUCGUCGAUGACGAAGAAACCCAUCGGAGCAAAUGCGAGCAG
rnacentral:lncRNA from 1 species